CGGUACCGAGAGGGACAGUCGGCGACACGGCAGCUCUGGCUGGACGGCGGUCGGGAGCGCUGAGUGCAGCCGGUCUCCAGCGGGCUCCGGUGGCCCUCAUCGUGGCAGGAAACCUCUCGUUGCUGCACGCCGUCACCGCAAGAAGCUGAACACUGAGAGCAGCACAGCUGGUUUUAAGCACAUCCUCUGACAUAUGGAGCACAUCUGCGACUCUGCGCUCGGGGCAGCUCGGACUGAAGAAGAGGAGGAGAAAAGAGGCGUGCAGAGCAGAGGAAGGGAAGGUAAAAGGGAGACAAGAACAGCACCCAUGUGCUUUUUUGUGAGGUUUUGUCUGGCACAGUCAUGUGUGAGGGGGGGGAAAGAAAAUGCUGACAUGUGGUUCCUAUUGUAGAAGCAACACUGAGAAAGGGAGGAUAAAAGGGACAGAGAGGUGAGGGUCAGAGGAAGAGGAAAUAUAAAGGAAAGGAGAAACUCAGACUGGAUUUGAGAUGAGUCCGUCCAGCACUUUGCAUGUUGACAGCAUGCACAGUUUCCACCUCUACUGAAGCAUGCUCCUUAAGUGAGAAGCUAACACACAUGCACAUACUUAAGAUGGUUAGUAAGAAAAAAAAAGAAAAAAAAGGGAAGAAUGUGAGCAAAAGAACGCUGACAUGUCUGGCGGUGUGCUAGCAGAGAAUGAAGGAGUGUUAUAUUCCAGGGUUAAAGAGUCCCACCUCUCCCCAGCUGCCUGUCUUCCACUUGGGGCAUCGUCCACCUCGACAGCGCCUUUGCUUGCUGGGUUUGGGGGACAAGUGCUGGCAGUUUUCCUCCAGGACAGCACGGCCUGACCCGGUCACACAGCUCACUUUACGGGAUUUGAAACCUCUUCCACAGGAGGCUGAGCACUGGAGAGGAGGAGAUGAUAGAAAGCUGAGGUCACGACUUUGAGAGUAACUUGUAAAAAAAAAAAAAAAAAGUAGACAGUAAUUUGGGUCGUUGUGCAUCUUUUUAGGACAAGACAAAGAGCCACACAAACAGUGUCUGCUCACCAGGAAGCAGGUUUUUUCUUAUCUCUGGGUUCACUGAGUUACUGAAAGGCUAAUUCAGUGCGCACACACACACACAUAUCUGCAUCACAGGAGGGAGGGCUGGCGGACUCAACGGUGCUUGGAUUAUCAAAGGGGGUGGACGGAGGGAUGGAUGCGAAGCGACAGGCCCAGAGUUGAAUGAGUGCGUGGCAGACCGUGUGGCUCUGUCCUGACCGGGAAAGGACCGCCGGGACCACACUGAAACGAGCUGUGACCUCUCAACCUCAUUCAUGGAGGAGCGGCGCGUGAGAGAAGCUGGUGCUAAUAUAUGUACAGCUUUAUAAAUGAAAGAGAGUCGACUAAAUCAGGUGGAAAAAAAAAUGUUUUUAAGACAAAAAAACGGAAUAAUAUAUAUGUUUUUAAUGAUGUGCAAAUCUGAAUAAACUAUCUUCUGAUUGUGUUGCUCAGUGUGUGUUAUUUCUGUAGUUACUAAUAUGAAAUUUUACAUGUUAAAAGUUACAACAAACACAAAAGAAGUCAAACUCUUCAAAACUAAAAAAAUGCACGUCAAGACCUAUUGUAUGUAGUUCAGACACUUCCUACAAUCAAGGCUUUAUGCUUUUUAAAAUAUAUUUUUUAUCAAUACACAAAUUCAGCCACAAAAUCAAAGCUGCUGUGUGCACUCUGUGGCCCCCGUGUCCAGCUAUUCUGCUGAACGGCUCCUUUUUCUUUAAACCCCGGAUCACGGACAUUUUCCCAGAAGUCCAUGUGUGAUGAUAGGAUGAAACAGUGCGGGAGGGGGGGCUUUCCGAGAUCAAACGUGGCCUUUGACCCACCAAUAAACCGCUGCAUUGUAUGGCUGACACCUCCCCUCAUUCAAGUCACCAUCACUGACAUUCACAGUGGCACAUCGUCAUUAAAUACCAUUAGGCCACAAUGAGGGGGGCUAUGAGGAAGGGCCAAAGGCUGCUCGUGAGUUCAGUGGUGGGAAUGCGUCACCAAGCACCCCAGAAAUAGCUUGGCUGUUCAUCAUGAGUGACUGAGCACAGUCAAUGAAGUAUUUUGAGGCCCUCUCACACAUGACGGAUUCACUUUGAUGGAUACAUUUUUAAUCCAGUGACACAUUGUAAAAAAAACGACAGCAGAGGCCCUGAUUAUAUACAAUAACAAGAUUAUUGCUCAGUGAUUUGUGAGCUUUCAUUCAGAAAAAAAAACCCAUCGAGUCAACUGGCUGGGAAAAAGAAAGUUUUCAAGGCAUUCUCCUGUUUCACUUUUUUUUAACAAGUAGCACUUUAAGCAUUCACUACAAUAAGGAUACCUUUUUUUUUCUUUUGUUUUUUCAAACAUGUAUAUUAUUUAUGUUCUGACAUGUUUACAGGAUCACAUAAGUUCAUGUGUUAUAAAUGUUUUGUAAGAUGGAAAAAAUAAAAAAUAAAAGCCUUUGAUAGUACCUCUACUUGACUUUAAUCAUGACCUUUUUCUGUAAAUAAACAGAAAUCCAACAGAUCCAAUAAAAAAAUUAAA